rnacentral:rRNA from 1 species
AACGAACGCUGGCGGCAUGCUUAACACAUGCAAGUCGAACGCCCCGCAAGGGGAGUGGCAGACGGGUGAGGAACACGUGGGAAUAUUCCUUUCAGUACGGGACAACUCAGGGGAAACUUGAGCUAAUACCGCAUACGCCCUACGGGGGAAAGAUUUAUCGCUGAAAGAUUAGCCCGCGUCUGAUUAGCUAGUUGGGUGAGGUAAUGGCUCACCAAGGCGACGAUCAGUAGCUGGUCUGAGAGGAUGAUCAGCCACAUUGGGACUGAGACACGGCCCAAACUCCUACGGGAGGCAGCAGUGGGGAAUAUUGGACAAUGGGCGCAAGCCUGAUCCAGCCAUGCCGCGUGAGUGAUGAA